rnacentral:rRNA from 1 species
AGGUGACCUGCGGAAGGUCAUUACUGAGUGAGGGCCCCUCGGGGUCCAACCUCCCACCCGUGUUUAACGAACCUUGUUGCUUCGGCGGGCCCGCCUCACGGCCGCCGGGGGGCAUCCGCCCCCGGGCCCGCGCCCGCCGAAGCCACCUGUGAACGCUGUCUGAAGUAUGCAGUCUGAGACAAUUAUUAAAUUAAUUAAAACUUUCAACAACGGAUCUCUUGGUUCCGGCAUCGAUGAAGAACGCAGCGAAAUGCGAUAACUAAUGUGAAUUGCAGAAUUCAGUGAAUCAUCGAGUCUUUGAACGCACAUUGCGCCCUCUGGUAUUCCGGAGGGCAUGCCUGUCCGAGCGUCAUUGCUGCCCUCCAGCCCGGCUGGUGUGUUGGGCCCCGCCCCCCUUCCCGGGGGGGCGGGCCCGAAAGGCAGCGGCGGCACCGCGUCCGGUCCUCGAGCGUAUGGGGCUUUGUCACCCGCUCUUGUAGGCCCGGCCGGCGUCAGCCGACCCCCUCAAUCUAUUUUUUCAGGUUGACCUCGGAUCAGGUAGGGAUACCCGCUGAACUUAAGCAUAUCAAUAAGCGGAGGAAAAGAAACCAACCGGGAUUGCCCUAGUAACGGCGAGUGAAGCGGCAAGAGCUCAAAUUUGAAAGCUGGCCCCCUCGGGGUCCGCAUUGUAAUUUGCAGAGGAUGCUUCGGGAGCGGUCCCCAUCUAAGUGCCCU